UGAACGCUGGCGGCGUGCCUAACACAUGCAAGUCGAACGAAGCGUCCCGCCCGAAGAAGAGGAGAGCUUGCUCAAAUCGGACUCAAUGGGACGACUAGUGGCGGACGGGUGAGUAACGCGUGGGUAACCUGCCGUGUGCAGGGGGAUAACAGUUAGAAAUGACUGCUAAUACCGCAUAAGCGCACAGUAUCGCAUGAUACAGUGUGAAAAGCCGAGACGGCACACGAUGGACCCGCGUCUGAUUAGCCAGUUGGCAGGGUAACGGCCUACCAAAGCGACGAUCAGUAGCCGGCCUGAGAGGGUGAACGGCCACAUUGGGACUGAGACACGGCCCAAACUCCUACGGGAGGCAGCAGUGGGGGAUAUUGCACAAUGGGGGAAACCCUGAUGCAGCGAACGCCGCGUGAGUGAAGAAGUAUUUCGGUAUGUAAAGCUCUAUCAGCAGGGAAGAAAAUGACGGUACCUGACUAAGAAGCUCCGGCUAAAUACGUGCCAGCAGCAGC
rnacentral:rRNA from 1 species